UGGGGAAUCUUGGACAAUGGGCGAAAGCCUGAUCCAGCCAUGCCGCGUGUGUGAAGAAGGUCUUCGGAUUGUAAAGCACUUUAAGUUGGGAGGAAGGGCAGUUACCUAAUACGUGAUUGUUUUGACGUUACCGACAGAAUAAGCACCGGCUAACUCUGUGCCAGCAGCCGCGGUAAUACAGAGGGUGCAAGCGUUAAUCGGAAUUACUGGGCGUAAAGCGCGCGUAGGUGGUUAGUUAAGUUGGAUGUGAAAUCCCCGGGCUCAACCUGGGAACUGCAUUCAAAACUGACUGACUAGAGUAUGGUAGAGGGUGGUGGAAUUUCCUGUGUAGCGGUGAAAUGCGUAGAUAUAGGAAGGAACACCAGUGGCGAAGGCGACCACCUGGACUGAUACUGACACUGAGGUGCGAAAGCGUGGGGAGCAAACAGGAUUAGAUACCCAGGUAGUCCCUGAGCGGGCUGGCAAGGCGCAU
rnacentral:rRNA from 1 species